AGUCCGAGCGCCCCGCAAGGGGGAGCGGCAGACGGGUGAGUAACGCGCUCGCGUGUAAUCUACCCUUUUCUACGGAAUAACGCAGGGAAACUUGUGCUAAUACCGUAUGAGCCCUUCGGGGGAAAGAUUUAUCGGGAAAGGAUGAGCCCGCGUUGGAUUAGCUAGUUGGUGGGGUAAAGGCCUACCAAGGCGACGAUCCAUAGCUGGUCUGAGAGGAUGAUCAGCCACAUUGGGACUGAGACACGGCCCAAACUCCUACGGGAGGCAGCAGUGGGGAAUAUUGGACAAUGGGCGCAAGCCUGAUCCAGCCAUGCCGCGUGAGUGAUGAAGGCCCUAGGGUUGUAAAGCUCUUUCACCGGUGAAGAUAAUGACGGUAACCGGAGAAGAAGCCCCGGCUAACUUCGUGCCAGCAGCCGCGGUAAUACGAAGGGGGCUAGCGUUGUUCGGAAUUACUGGGCGUAAAGCGCACGUAGGCGGACAUUUAAGUCAGGGGUGAAAUCCCAGAGCUCAACUCUGGAACUGCCUUUGAUACUGGGUGUCUAGAGUAUGGAAGAGGUGAGUGGAAUUCCGAGUGUAGAGGUGAAAUUCGUAG
rnacentral:rRNA from 1 species